AUAAACACCUAUGUUAAUAAACACAUAACAUCAGUGGUCUAUAGGAUCAUUACAUAAUUGUUUAUACAACUGAUGAACUGUUUCGACUAAAUUACAUAAAAUAUAGGGACUAAAGGGUAAUUGCUGCUGAAAAUAAAAAUAAAAACUAAAUUUAAACAAUAAAUUGGGUGGUGGGCCGAAAUCUAAAGGAUUCGGCCCACCACCGUGUGGCACUAGGCCGGCAGGCAAGUGGGGGGGGCGGUGGGCCGGCCCAUUCGGCCCGCAGCAAAAAAAGCAGGGGGAGCCGUCGGGGGGGGGGGAUUAGGGUUAACCCUAACCGCCCCCACGAUUUCGCCGCCGCCGCCGUUUUCGCCGCUGCUCACCGCCGCCAUUUCGCCGCCAACCGCCGCCGACCGCCGCCAGUUCGCCGCCGCCGACACCGCCGUGGGGAAACCGCCGACGCCGCCAUGGGGAAGCCGUGGGGCGUCGCCGUGGGGGCGUCGCUGUGGGGGCGCCGACGUCGCCAACCGCCGCCGUGGAGCGCCACCAAUUGCACCGCCACCUCCACCUUCUCCGCCGCCGCCAUUCGCCUCCACCGCCAUCUCCCAUCCAUGGUGGGCACCGUACUGUACCCCUUGCACAAGGAUCCGACGAGGUGCUUCCUCAACCAAAGGCGGAGGAGGAGGUGCGACAGGGACGGGCGGGGGGGCCACAACCGGAGUUGCAGGCACACGACGAGGGUAAUGGCGGCGGCCACCAACCCUAGCCCUGCCUCCGCGGGAUCCCCGGCGCGCCCUCCUCAUCGAUCGACGAAGAAGAUGGUGAAGCCUGCGUGCGCGCUGAUGGCGAGGGAGGCCGAGAACGACAUCCAUGAUCCAAUGAAAGCAAGCGGGUUUCUGAAGCGUUGGAAUCAGAUCGCGGGGUCCGUAACUCCGUUCCGUCUGAAUCUUUGGAUCUUCCUCGGUUUUGUUCUGAUGCGGUGAUCGCUACUGGUGGAUGAGCGGAAGAAGCUGUGGGCGCGCGGCGGCAGGCGGCAGCAAGAGCGCGUGGUUGGGGUUGGGGAAAAAGGACGCCACUCGGCAUGCAUGCGCGUGCUCCACACUCCAGCAGCUUUGGCCAGGUGCCCUGUCCCAAUCUUGUUUGUAGUAUUCGUAUAUGGGUUGGUUGUAGAGUCUCCCUGGAGCUUCAGUUCCCAACUCCACGUUUCCUAAUAAACUGCUAGUUGCUAAACUGAACGUUUUUUUAAAAAAAAAAUUCUAUACGAAUGUUUCUUUAAAAAAUCAUAUUAAUCCAUUUUUUUUAAAAAAUAGCUUAUACUAAAUUAAUUACAUGCUAAUUAACCACUUUGUUUUGCGUGUUUGGAGGGAGAAUUCCUAACCCUCCCUGCCGAACACAGCCUGGACUAGUAUGGUACUCCAUCCGUUCUAAAAUAUGAGUUAAUGUUGAUUUUUUUAUAAUGUUUGAUUGUUCAUAUUAUUUAAAAUUUUAGUAUAAAUACGUAAAAGUAUAAGUAGAGAUUUUAUUUAAAAAACAAAUAAGCCAACAAAGUCAUCAAGCUUGUUGGCUUAUGCUUCCAACAAAAUUUAGACUUUUAAACUUGUUUUAUAGUUGAUUAUCUAUUUUUCUUGUCUAUUUUCUAUAUCAGAAUGAUAUACAUAUAAAAUUUUACAACAAAUUGUUUUUGCUUCACUUUUUUCUUCUACGGCUUAUCGAUUGUGUAGCUCAAUCAAUCAGAGCUGAUUUUAAGUUUAUAGUCAUGGACAGAGUAUUUCGUUCCCAUUUAUGUGCUGCAUGUUUGCGUGGCACAUACCUAGGCUGUGUGUUUAGUUGGAUCCAAAGUUUGGAUUUUGGUUGAAAUUGGAGAUGAUGUGACUGAAAAGUUAUGUGUGUAUGACAGGUUGAUGUGAUGGAAAAGGACUGAAGUUUGGAUCCAAAUUUUGGAUCUAAACACAGCCCUAGUUAGCGUGCUUUGGCGCUAUUUGAGAAGGUACAAUAGCAGGCUAUAAGCUAGCUGCAAACA